AACAAUAAUGUAUUAUUUAAAAUUUGCAUUUGUUGGAGUGCCUGGUUGGUUUAGUGGGUUCAGCGUCUGUCUUCGGCUCAGGUCAUGAUCCCAGGGUCCUGAGAUCGAGUCCGACAUCUGGCUUCCU